rnacentral:lncRNA from 1 species
GAAAGCUUGUCGAAGGCUGAUUCCUUCGUCAGUUGGCGUUAUUAGCACCAACCUUGGCCAUUCUACAGUCCUAUUUUUCACUUCUUCUUCAUCUAUUUCUGGUGCUACAGGAAGAUUGGCUUCAAAUGUGGCAUUGAGCCAUAAUUGCAAGAGCCAGAAAGGUCCUGAUAAGUUGAUUUUCCCUUGGGUUUUGGUGUUUUUUAAAAGAUGUACGCUCUCACUCAGAGAUUCAUAAAGGUUCGCCAGAAU